CGCGUAGGCGGGCUAUUAAGUUGGGGGUGAAAUCCCGAGGCUCAACCUCGGAACUGCCUCCAAAACUGGUAGCCUGGAGGUAUGGAGAGGGAAGUGGAAUUCCUGGUGUAGCGGUGAAAUGCGUAGAUAUCAGGAGGAACACCUGUGGCGAAGGCGGCUUCCUGGCCAUAUCCUGACGCUGAGGUGCGAAAGCCAGGGGAGCGAACGG
rnacentral:rRNA from 1 species